rnacentral:rRNA from 1 species
UUUCGCAAUGCCCGAAAGGGAGAGAAGCGACGCCGCGUGUGGGAAGAAGGCCUUCGGGUUGUAAACCACUGUCGGGAGUUAGGAAAUGCAGGUGCGUUAAUAGCGCACUUGCUUGACUAAGGCUCCAGAGGAAGCCACGGCUAACUCUGUGCCAGCAGCCGCGGUAAUACAGAGGCGGCAAGCGUUGUUCGGAAUUAUUGGGCGUAAAGAGCACGUAGGCGGCCUUGCAAGUCAGUUGUGAAAGCCUUCCGCUUAACGGAAGAACGGCAUCUGAUACUACAGGGCUUGAGUACGGGAGGGGAGAGUGGAACUUCUGGUGGAGCGGUGAAAUGCGUAGAUAUCAGAAGGAACGCCGGCGGCGAAAGCGGCUCUCUGGCCCAUAACUGACGCUGAGUGUGCGAAAGCUAGGGGAGCAAACGGGAUUAGAUACCCCGGUAGUCCUAGCCGUAAACGAUGGGCACUAAGUAGAGGGGUUUU